rnacentral:rRNA from 1 species
CGCUCUUUUAAAAAAGAGUAACUUCUGCUAAUUGAUAUUUAAAAAGCCGUUUUGACGCUAAGGUAGCGUAAUCAAAAGUUCUUUGAUUGGGAACCUGCAUGAAAGAAUGAACUUAGAAGGAACUAUUUUUAGGAAAAAAUCAAAAAUUAAAGGAAGACAAAAAAAUAUCCUAUCUCGCAAGACGAGAAGACCCUACAACCUCCCCCUAUAGGGUUUUUUGGGGAAAAUAUUUAAAUUAAUCCUGAAAUAAAAAAGAUUAAAAACAAAUUCAAAAAUAAGGUACUUUAGGGAUAACAGAGCAAUUAAAAAUUAAAGCCCGAAUUUAGUUUUUAGUUUGCGACCUCGAUGUUGGAUUUUCUACUCUAUAAGCUGCAGCAAGCUUAAAAGAUUAAACUGUUCGUUUAGUAAAUUGAA